UCUCUUCUUCUCCUUCUUCUUCUCUUCUUUUAUUUUUCUUCUUCUUCUUCAUUCUUCUACUCUCUCUCUCUCUCUCUCUCUCCCUCCUUAUUAUGACGUCUCACCUUCGUGACUGUAUCUCACGCCUCCUCCUCACGCAGCUAAGGCUCCUCCUCUCACUCUGCUCUCUCGGCCUCGAUCCUCACUCAGCUCGAACUCAUCUCUCACCCGCUCGAACUCAGCUCUCUUCCUCUCUCUCUUCUCUUUUUUUUUUCUUUUUUUUUCUGUUAUUUUAUUAUAUAUAUAUAUAUAUUUUUUUUUUGCCACGUGGUUUGUUCCCCU
rnacentral:lncRNA from 1 species